rnacentral:rRNA from 1 species
UACGUAGGGAGCAAGCGUUGUCCGGAAUCACUGGGCGUAAAGCGCACGUAGGCGGAUCGCUAAGUCAGGGGUGAAAUCCUGGAGCUCAACUCCAGAACUGCCUUUGAUACUGAAGAUCUUGAGUUCGGGAGAGGUGAGUGGAACUGCGAGUGUAGAGGUGAAAUUCGUAGAUAUUCGCAAGAACACCAGUGGCGAAGGCGGCUCACUGGCCCGAUACUGACGCUGAGGCACGAAAGCGUGGGGAGCAAACAGG